AACCUAGCACACCUGCGGUGUGUACCUGCGGAGGGAUCAUUAUAAGAUUCUAACGGUUCUAGCCCGUAAAAAAGGCUAUGAACUAUUCAACCCUUUGUGAACUUAAAACCCUUUUCGCUUCGGUAGCAAGCCAGUUUUUGGUAAAGACCAAUUUCUGUGCUGUUAGCCUACCGACAGCACUAAACUAAACUUUAAAAUAUUGUCUGAUUUAUUUAUUUUGAAUAAUCAAAACUUUCAACA
rnacentral:misc_RNA from 1 species